rnacentral:rRNA from 1 species
AUGAGCAGGAAAAUACUGAGGCAGAGAUUCAGGCUCGGGCAUCUGACAACAUCUCUUUCAGAAAAAUGGCAGAAUGCCGUGCACCCACCAAUGGCGCCACCAACACAGCAAGAUGUACAUCAUCAAGUCUCAGCCCCACAGUCACAUCCAUCUUCCAUGCCAGUCUUACCGAAUGCAGGGCAAACUGUCGGUGCAGUAAGAGCAUCUCCUUUGACAAGAGCUGAAAGAGGUAGAGGCAAUGCUCACACCGCUCGGGUCACUCGCACCGCCACCCCUUGCCAACAAGUGCCGUACCAGGAGGAAGAAGACGAAGAAUGCACACCUAACGUGUACGUAGGGAACCUACACUACGACGUUGUCAGCGAGGACCUCACCGAGCUCUUUGAGCAAGCCGGUGUUGUUGAGUUCUCAGAGGGUAUUUACAGCCGAGGAACAGGCCAGAGCCGAGGAUAUGGAUUUGUCACCAUGAGUACUGUUAAGGAGGCUGAGCUGGCUGUGGAGAUGUUCGAUGGCUUUAAAUUGUUUGGGAUGCCUCUUAUUGUGCACAAAGCAGCUCGGAGAGGCGCCCGGGUGGAAACUCCUUCCCAUCAAACCGAGUCCCCAUUCAGAAUCUACGUGGGCAAUCUGUCUUUGCAAGUCGAUGACUCUUGGUUGAAGGAGCUGUUUGGCAAGCACGGCAAAGUGGUCGAUGCUAGAGUCGUCUACAGGCACAGAGGAGGAACCUGGAGCUCUCAGGGAUUCGGUUUUGUCACGAUGGCAACAGAGAAGGAAACGUAUGAUGCUGUUUAUGCCCUCAACAAACAGAUUCUGGAUGGACGUGCCCUGCAGAUUCACUUUGAACCCCUGUAA